UACAGAGGUCUCAAGCGUUGUUCGGAUUCAUUGGGCGUAAAGGGCGCGUAGGCGGCGGGGCAAGUCGGGUGUGAAAUCUCAGAGCUCAACUCUGAAACUGCACUCGAUACUGCUCUGCUUGAGGACUGGAGAGGAGACUGGAAUUCACGGUGUAGCAGUGAAAUGCGUAGAUAUCGUGAGGAAGACCAGUGGCGAAGGCGGGUCUCUGGACAGUUCCUGACGCUGAGGCGCGAAGGCCAGGGGAGCAAACGGG
rnacentral:rRNA from 1 species